UUAGUAAGCGGAGGAAAAGAAACCAACAGGGAUUCCCUUAGUAGCGGCGAGCGAACCGGGACCUAGCCCAGCACCGAAUCCCUCGCUUAUCAGUGGCGAACGGGAAAUGUGGUGUAUGGGAGGGGUCGUUCCCAGCGAGCUGCGGCGGCGUAAGUCCCCCUGACAGGGGCUUCGUCCAGAGUGGGUGCCAGGCCCGUCUCUGUCGCCGCUCUCGCC
rnacentral:rRNA from 1 species